AGCGAACGCUGGCGGCAGGCUUAACACAUGCAAGUCGAGCGGGCAUCCUUGUGGUGUCAGCGGCAGACGGGUGAGUAACGCGUGGGAACGUGCCCUUCGGUUCGGAAUAACUCAGGGAAACUUGAGCUAAUACCGGAUACGUGCGAGAGCAGAAAGGUUUAUCUGCCGAAGGAUCGGCCCGCGUCUGAUUAGCUAGUUGGUGAGGUUAUGGCUAACCAAGGCGAUGAUCAGUAGCUGGUUUGAGAGGAUGAACUGCCACACUGGGAAUGAGAUCCGGCCCAGACUCCUACACGCGGCAGCAGUGCGGCAUAGUGCAGUAUGGCCGGAAGCAUGAUGUAACACUGUCGCGCGCGGGAUAAAGACCUACGGAUUGUAAACAAAUUUCCCCUUUUACGUAGCGAAAAUGACGGUAAUUAAUAAAGAGGCAACGGCUAACCACAUC
rnacentral:rRNA from 1 species